rnacentral:SRP_RNA from 1 species
CGCACUAGCCGGGGAGAUAGCGGUGCCCUGUAACCUGCAAUCCGCUACAGCAGGAGUGAAUUCCUACACCCGGGCAUAUCCUGUAUUGUCUGACCCCCGUAAGCGGCGAUGAGGAACCGGUCCUGCGCAACGCGAUCCCGCGAACCAUGUCAGGCGGGGAACCGAGCAGCAUUAAACGGACCAUUGCGUGUGCCGCAGGGGCGCCGUUUCCGAGCUGGCUGCGCGGGUAACGGGUAUAGUAUAUGUUCAAAUGUAGGUGU